rnacentral:rRNA from 1 species
AGAGUUUGAUCAUGGCUCAGGAUGAACGCUAGCGGCAGGCUUAACACAUGCAAGUCGAGGGGCAGCACGAGUAGUAAUACUUGGUGGCGACCGGCGCAAGGGUGCGUAACGCGUGAGCAACAUGCCCGUAUCAGGGGGAUAAUCCAGGGAAACUUGGUCUAAUACCCCAUAGCAAUUGAAGGAGGCAUCUUCUUUGAUUUAAAGCUUUGGUGGAUACGGAUUGGCUCGCGUGACAUUAGCUAGAUGGUAAGGUAACGGCUUACCAUGGCUACGAUGUCUAGGGGUUCUGAGAGGAAGGUCCCCCACACUGGAACUGAGACACGGUCCAGACUCCUACGGGAGGCAGCAGUGAGGAAUAUUGGACAAUGGAUGGAAAUCUGAUCCAGCCAUGCCGCGUGCAGGAAGACGGCCCUAUGGGUUGUAAACUGCUUUUAUAUGGGAGCAAUAAGACCUACGUGUAGGUCGAUGAGAGUACCAUAUGAAUAAGCACCGGCUAACUCCGUGCCAGCAGCCGCGGUAAUACGGAGGGUGCAAGCGUUAUCCGGAUUUAUUGGGUUUAAAGGGUGCGUAGGCGGUUUGAUAAGUCAGCGGUGAAAUAUUUCAGCUUAACUGGAAGGGUGCCGUUGAUACUGUCGAGCUUGAAUUUAGUUGCUGUGGGUGGAAUGUGUGGUGUAGCGGUGAAAUGCAUAGAUAUCACACAGAAUAUCGAUUGCGAAGGCAGCUCACAAAGCUAAUAUUGACGCUGAUGCACGAAAGUGUGGGGAUCAAACAGGAUUAGAUACCCUGGUAGUCCACACUGUAAACGAUGAUAACUCGCUGUCGGCGAUACACAGUCGGUGGCCAAGCGAAAGCGAUAAGUUAUCCACCUGGGGAGUACGACCGCAAGGUUGAAACUCAAAGGAAUUGACGG